rnacentral:rRNA from 1 species
AUGGUUUCCGUCAAGGAGUGGUGGCAUAACAUUGCUUCCGGGAGGUCACAAUCUCAAAGGGCGCUUCUUUCCCUUAUGCUUCUUAUCUCUUGGGAAAUCUGGAACGAGCGAAAUGCACGUGUGUUCUGCAGCAUGAAGGUGCCGGUCGGGGUGCUUGUGACUCGCAUCAAAGCGGAAACUUCGUUGUGGUGCUUUGCCGGGGCGAAAUAUUUAUGUAAUAUAAUGCCGCGAGAGUGA